GACGAACGCUUGCGGCGUGCUUAACACAUGCAAGUCGAACGGAAAGGCCCUGCUUUUGUGGGGUGCUCGAGUGGCGAACGGGUGAGCAACACGUGAGUAACCUGCCCUUGACUUUGGGAUAACUUCAGGAAACUGGGGCUAAUACCGGAUAGGAGCUCCUGCUGCAUGGUGGGGGUUGGAAAGUUUCGGCGGUUGGGGAUGGACUCGCGGCUUAUCAGCUUGUUGGUGGGGUAGUGGCUUACCAAGGCUUUGACGGGUAGCCGGCCUGAGAGGGUGACCGGCCACAUUGGGACUGAGAUACGGCCCAGACUCCUACGGGAGGCAGCAGUGGGGAAUAUUGCACAAUGGGCGGAAGCCUGAUGCAGCAACGCCGCGUGCGGGAUGACGGCCUUCGGGUUGUAAACCGCUUUCGCCUGUGACGAAGCGUGAGUGACGGUAAUGGGUAAAGAAGCACCGGCUAACUACGUGCCAGCAGCCGCGGUGAUACGUAGGGUGCGAGCGUUGUCCGGAUUUAUUGGGCGUAAAGGGCUCGUAGGUGGUUGAUCGCGUCGGAAGUGUAAUCUUGGGGCUUAACCCUGAGCGUGCUUUCGAUACGGGUUGACUUGAGGAAGGUAGGGGAGAAUGGAAUUCCUGGUGGAGCGGUGGAAUGCGCAGAUAUCAGGAGGAACACCAGUGGCGAAGGCGGUUCUCUGGGCCUUUCCUGACGCUGAGGAGCGAAAGCGUGGGGAGCGAACAGGCUUAGAUACCCUGGUAGCCCACGCUGUAAACGGUGGGUACUAGGUGUGGGGUCCAUUCCACGGGUUCCGUGCCGUAGCUAACGCUUUAAGUACCCCGCCUGGGGAGUACGGCCGCAAGGCUAAAACUCAAAGGAAUUGACGGGGCCCCGCACAAGCGGCGGAGCAUGCGGAUUAAUUCGAUGCAACGCGUAGAACCUUACCUGGGUUUGACAUGGAUCGGGAGUGCUCAGAGAUGGGUGUGCCUCUUUUGGGGUCGGUUCACAGGUGGUGCAUGGCUGUCGUCAGCUCGUGUCGUGAGAUGUUGGGUUAAGUCCCGCAACGAGCGCAACCCUUGUUCACUGUUGCCAGCACGUUAUGGUGGGGACUCAGUGGAGACCGCCGGGGUCAACUCGGAGGAAGGUGGGGAUGACGUCAAGUCAUCAUGCCCCUUAUGUCCAGGGCUUCACGCAUGCUACAAUGGCUGGUACAGAGAGUGGCGAGCCUGUGAGGGUGAGCGAAUCUCGGAAAGCCGGUCUCAGUUCGGAUUGGGGUCUGCAACUCGACCUCAUGAAGUCGGAGUCGCUAGUAAUCGCAGAUCAGCAACGCUGCGGUGAAUACGUUCCCGGG
rnacentral:rRNA from 1 species